rnacentral:rRNA from 1 species
GAUGUUAGCGGCGGACGGGUGAGUAACACGUGGAUAACCUACCUAUAAGACUGGGAUAACUUCGGGAAACCGGAGCUAAUACCGGAUAAUAUUUUGAACCGCAUGGUUCAAAAGUGAAAGACGGUCUUGCUGUCACUUAUAGAUGGAUCCGCGCUGCAUUAGCUAGUUGGUAAGGUAACGGCUUACCAAGGCAACGAUGCAUAGCCGACCUGAGAGGGUGAUCGGCCACACUGGAACUGAGACACGGUCCAGACUCCUACGGGAGGCAGCAGUAGGGAAUCUUCCGCAAUGGGCGAAAGCCUGACGGAGCAACGCCGCGUGAGUGAUGAAGGUCUUCGGAUCGUAAAACUCUGUUAUUAGGGAAGAACAUAUGUGUAAGUAACUGUGCACAUCUUGACGGUACCUAAUCAGAAAGCCACGGCUAACUACGUGCCAGCAGCCGCGGUAAUACGUAGGUGGCAAGCGUUAUCCGGAAUUAUUGGGCGUAAAGCGCGCGUAGGCGGUUUUUUAAGUCUGAUGUGAAAGCCCACGGCUCAACCGUGGAGGGUCAUUGGAAACUGGAAAACUUGAGUGCAGAAGAGGAAAGUGGAAUUCCAUGUGUAGCGGUGAAAUGCGCAGAGAUAUGGAGGAACACCAGUGGCGAAGGCGACUUUCUGGUCUGUAACUGACGCUGAUGUGCGAAAGCGUGGGGAUCAAACAGGAUUAG